ACGGGAGGCAGCAGUGGGGAAUAUUGCACAAUGGGGGAAACCCUGAUGCAGCGACGCCGCGUGAGUGAUGAAGUAUUUCGGUAUGUAAAGCUCUAUCAGCAGGGAAGAUAAUGACGGUACCUGACUAAGAAGCACCGGCUAAAUACGUGCCAGCAGCCGCGGUAAUACGUAUGGUGCAAGCGUUAUCCGGAUUUACUGGGUGUAAAGGGAGCGUAGGUGGUUUGGCAAGCCAGAAGUGAAAACCCGGGGCUCAACUCCGUGGAUUGCUUUUGGAACUGUUGAACUAGAGUGCAGGAGGGGUGAGUGGAAUUCCCAGUGUAGCGGUGAAGUGCGUAGAUAUUGGGAGGAACACCAGUGGCGAAGGCGGCUCACUGGACUGUAACUGACACUGAGGCUCGAAAGCGUGGGGAGCAAACAGGAUUAGAUACCCUGGUA
rnacentral:rRNA from 1 species